ACCUGCUCGUGCACACCCACGCUCACAGCCAGCAGGAAGCCAGAGGAGCAGAGCACAUGCACCUCAUGGCUGCCUGCAGGUGUCAUUCCCCACCGCUCCCGGACAGCCAACUGCCUUGUCACAUUUCAGACUCCCUCUCCCUCCCCUGCCCACCCACUGAGAGACGCAUCUCUUCCUCUCCUCCUCUCCUCUUUGCACAUCUCCGUGUCUGUGCUGUCACCAGGCCCAGGUUGCUGGAAGGAGGUGGCCUUUCUCUAUGGAUUUCCCCCGGUUCCUUGUGGCCAUCCUGCUGCCUGUGGGCUGGGCCCUUCAGCAAUCACCAGAUACAGUCGUCCGGGAGGGAGACCCUGUGACUCUGGAAUGUUCUGCAUCAGGGAAAGAUUACCUAUACAUGUCCUGGUACAAGUUGCCCAUGGAGAAGGAUGCCAGCAUGCAGUUGGUUGUAUAUUCAGUGGAAGGUGGCAAAGCAGAUAUUGAGAAGGAAUUCAGAAAUCGCUUCCAGAGUAAUGGGACUCGGAACAACCAUUUAUCUGUGAAGAUAGAUCAUGCCCUACUCAAUGACUCGGGCACAUAUUUCUGUGCUGAACAAGAUCCACAGUGACUCAAAGGCUGGUGCAGCACAGCACAAACCUUUCCAGGCAAACAGGGAUCUGCCACCAGCACACACUGAGCCCUGUGUUUGACAGAAUGCCAUUUUCUUCACUUGCCCUCCAGCUCUUCAGGAGAGACGAGGUUAUGCUUGUCUGUCUUUCUGUCUGUGCAUCUGUCUGUCUUCUUCAUGGUCUCUAGCAGCUUCUCUAUUCUCUCCCAUGUGGGUAUCACCUUUCUUCUUGUCCUCACUGUCUCACCUCAUUUCUCUGCCAUUCACAGAGAAAUACUCUGUCCCCCUGACCUUUCCUCUCCAUCCUCCGACACCUUCCUAUUUCCUUCAUUCUCAUCCAUCUCUCCUUCCUUUCAGUCUGCUACCUCAGCUCAUGCAGAAGCACCAUGUGGAAUGCUUUGCACAGCCCCUUCCUUCUCCACCAGCAGGAAGGACAAGGCCAACUGGUC